UAAUUAUUUUCCUAACUCUACUGAAAGUACAGAAAUGCAUAAAAAAUAUACUUCAUGCACAUUAUCUGGCAGCUAGGUUGUCUUGCAGCAGAACGAUUUUUUAGGGUAUCUAGUCCUUUCAUACUACCAGAAGCAAAAAUCCCAAAAGUAACAUUUUUCACUGUAAAAAAUUUCGAAAUUCCACAUAAUCCCAAAUCAAAAAGAAAAAUAAAUUCUCCCAUCACUGAGCUAUCCAGAAAAUCCAAGUAAAUAAUUUGAUACAUGAUCUGAAUGUCAAGACUACUACCUUCUUCACCCUCACCCCAUCCAUGGCAAACAACAUCAGUCAAUUACUGCUUUCCGACUCUUGGGACUGGUAGCUUUAUGUCAUGUCAUCAAAUUUAUAUCAUCAAAAAAUUACAGAAAACAACUACCAAUCAGUUGGAGUUAGUUGAAAUUCUGAAGAUAAAUGACAUACAAGUGCCAAAUUUACAGUUCCAAAAUGAAGAGUUCUGCAUUCAAAAAAAGGAUGAGAAAGGAUGUUAUUUGAGCUAGACCUUCAAGCACAAGAGGAAUUCCGAUAAGUACGAGGCACUGGAAAAUUAUUAUAGUCAAGGAUAAUGGCAAAAGCAGAGAAUAAAGGCAGGAAGGGGCAUGUAGUGAUCAGAAGCCAAAACAAAAAUCAGUGGGCAGAUACAUUCUUUAGAACAACUCAUUAUUAUCGUCAUUAUAUACACAAGAAAACAGAGUUCAUCAGAUAGGUUCAGCAGAUUGUUCAAGGUCACAUAGCAAAAGAUGGAGACUCUUGGAUUUUAUCCCAGCCAGACCAACUCUAACCACCAUCCUGUGCAGCCUGAGACCAAUUGUUAAAGUUACAUGUAUUGGUAUGACCAUUUCCACCUGACAGCAAAUGCAAGGGAACCAUAAAUACCACACAAAGAAGAAAAAAAAAAUGAAGAGAGAAUGAAUGAAAGAAAAAUGUUUGGCAAUGGGAACCUACAAUUAUGACUCAAAUGCCCCUAACUUCAAUAAAAGGGAAAUGAACUAUGAAAUUAUUGAAGGAAGCAGUAUAUGAAAAUGAAGGCAUAGAUACUCCAUUCAAAUCUCUUAAUAUAUAAAUUUAAAUAUUCACUCCAUUUUAAGUGAAUGAUUCUGUCAAAAGAAUUAAUUUUCUGAGCAAUGAGGAUAUUCAUUUACCAUGAUUCCACCAUCUGCAAUUUAUGAACCAAAUUAUACUCUUUCAGAAAAAAAGAAGUUCAUACAAUGCAUUUAAACUACAUCAAGACCAAAUCAAAAAUGUUUUCCUAAAAUUGAAGAAAUCACCAAGUAAAAGUUAAUCACCUGCACCUUUAGUAGACAGUGACCAUUACAGAAUAAUAUAUAACAAACGCUUUACCCAAGUGGUUUUUCAAACUUUAACAGUUUAUUCAUGAUAUGUGAAGUCAGAGUUCUAGUUUUAACUGGAAAGGGGAAUUCUCACAUCCACAGAGCAGUCAAUAGUCUUGGUGUCCCAGAAAAGACCUUUUAAACAAGUUGUCAUUUCCAAAAGGGUUUGCAGGGAUCUUAGGAAAAAAUGCCCAUCAAAGCAGUCUGGCAGGUAACUUUAACGGGGGAAACAGGUUAGACAGACUCUAUGCAAAGUGGAGGAACUUCCUCUGUAUGUGAGAAGCAAAGCACCAGAGUGCCAGCUAAGUGUUGCCAUAAGGGAAUAGGGGCUUACUGUUAUCAGCUAUUCCAAUUUUUCAAGAGAAACUGCAACUCCAAAUAUUUCGGUAAAUUUUUAAAUGGCCACUAAGUGAAAAUGUUUAAGACACUGAGCAGACUAAAACCACUUAAACAAAUUUGCAGGCUAGGUGACGAGCGGGCUGCAACUUACCCAUUUUGCUCUGGAGCAUCUGUCAUUUACCAAAGAGUGAAACAAAGCAUGAAUAUACACAAAAGGAAAAACUAUUAAGAGAACACCAUGGGUCUCUUUUAUAUAUAACAGAGAUGAUCACCUAAUUACCAGAUUUGUCUUUCUUUCACUUUUUCCUUCUUUACUCAUUUAUUUGUUCUCUUAUUUAACAAAUAUUUGCUCAUUGUCUUUUUGGUAUCAAGCUCAGCAGCUGGUGGAAGAAAAAGGAAUGCAAUCAAAUAAUUACAGCUAUUUAACAUGUGCUGGUAAAGAUAUAUACCAAAGUACUGUGAAAGCAAGAAUAGGAAGCGUUAACUCUCCCCAGGGAGGUCAGAGAGCCGCACUGGAUUUAGUAGGUAGCUGUUAGUUUUGCUUGCUCAGCAUCCAUUUCCUUUUUUUUUUUUUUUUUUUUCUGGUGACAUUGACUCAAUUUUAAUUUGAGAAAUAUUUUAGUCUCAAUAGGUUAGUAAAAGCAAAGGCAACAUUUUAUCAUUUUAUUUCUUGCUCACACUACACAGUUUUAUUCAUGCUACAUUUCCUAUACAAGGUAGAGAGGAGUUCAUUUGACCACAGGCACUCAGGGACCAAGACUGACAAAUAUUCUAUCUCAUUUAGCUACACCAUGUAGAAUACAUGGCAGAAACAACUAGACCACCUUGCACUGGCUCCUCUUUGCUUUAGCUUAGACAUAUCAUGUCCUCCUGUGGUUCAAAUAGUCGUGUGGUCUCAUUUCACUUCCUGGAGGCUUAGAAAUGUAGGACAACCUAUUAUAUGCAAUCUUGGUGACAUGUCCACCAAAAUACCCAACCAGCCCAUGGUUGAGACAUGGACAUGUUACCCAAGCAAAGGCAAUGAGAUAAUUUCUUCCUUUGAGUCAUGAACCUUGAACUGAAUAUCACAGAAUGCAAAACCAGAACUGACCCAUUCCAAGGACCUUUUCUAUGAAAAGAUGAGUCAUUAGUUCCUACAGUCUAGAUUCAUAAAGGUUUUUUUCUGUGCCUUGAAUGUUUAGUUGUUGGGUUGUUUUUGUUCUUUGAGCUACCUAUACCUACCUGUAUCCAUCUUGUAUCUUUUCAAAACACUCAUUUUAUUGUCCGAGUUAGUCAGAGUCAUUUAUGUGAGCCAACAAUGAUUACUGAUAACCUGGAAAAAAACAUGCAAAGUAAGUCUUAGAGAAUGAGUAGCAGUUUGAUAUGAUAUGGGAUAAGAGUUGGUGUGGUGGGAUGAGGAUGACAUCGAGGGCAACAAAUGAUCAAAGUCAGAGAAGCACGUAGAGCCAGGUAUAAGUAGUUCUGCAUGGCUAGAAGAAAGAAUGGGUGGAUUAACGCAUGUCAAGAAAUGGGAAAGAUACUAAAGGCUGAGAAAUAGCAACAAAGAUUUCUACAUCAUCCUAAUGAAGUUUAGAUUUGACCCUGAAGAGAAUAUACAUGUCCCAGCCAGAGAAGUGUGCCUGCAGACUGCAGACAGUGAAGAGCCAUAGAAGGCUUUUAAGUAACUGUGACUUCACCAUGUUUUUUUCCUUUGGUCUUAUCUAGAUAAAUUUCACAUAAUAUAAAAUUUACCAAUUUAAAGUGCACAAUUCAGUGGUUUUCGAUAUGUUCACCG
rnacentral:lncRNA from 1 species